GCAUUGGUGGUUCAGUGGUAGAAUUCUCACCUUCUGUGUGGGAGACCUGGGUUUGAUUCCUAGCCAGUGUA
rnacentral:tRNA from 1 species